GAGCUUGUUUACAGAGCCGCGAGAGAUUCUGCUCAGAGGGGUUUGCCCGUGAAGGACUGAGUGAAAGCCUCACAGAUGGGAUAACGGAAUUCCACAGAAACAAGUGCAUACACGUUCUUCAUGGCUGACACAGCAUAACAAACUAGCUUACUUGUAAUGUUUUAACACACGCUACGAGAGACACCACUUGUUUCUUUUUAUUUUUGAGAUUGGUCGCUGUUCAUUCUGGUGGUGCAAGCCGAGAACGCGGGAUAUCUUUAUCCAACCCUAUCGUGUUUGCUUGGACCAAAGGUGCCGGACAAAAUGGAUAACGAAAAGUACCUCCCAGAGCUCUUGGCAGAGAAGGACUCUCUCGACCCGUCAUUUCAACAUGCAUUACGGCUUCUUGAUCAAGAAAUCGACAAAGCUCAAAAAGACGAUGGAAAAGAGGACGAGAAGUUUAUCGAUGUUGUCAUCAACAAGAACAUGAAGCUCGGACAGAAAAUCUUGAUACCUGUCAAACAAUUCCCCAAAUUCAACUUUGUGGGCAAACUGCUGGGCCCGCGCGGGAACUCGUUAAAGCGGCUACAAGAAGACACACUCACAAAGAUGUCAAUUCUCGGCAAAGGAUCCAUGAGAGACAAAGAGAAGGAAGAGGAGCUACGGAAGAGCGGCGAAUCCAAAUACCAACACCUGAACGAGGACCUGCACGUGCUGAUCGAGGUGUUUGCGCCGCCGGCCGAAGCCUACGCCAGGAUGGGCCAUGCGCUGGAGGAGAUCAAGAAGUUCCUCAUCCCUGAUUACAAUGAUGAGAUCAGACAGGCCCAGCUGCAGGAGCUCACGUACCUGAAUGGUGCUUCAGAGGAUGCCAAGGUGCCCGCGGUGAGAGGUAAACCGUCAGCACGAGCACGAGGGACACCUGCUCCUGGACCUCCCAGGAGUCGGGGAGGAGUGCCCCCACCACAGGCUGCAGUGCCCCGUGGCGUUGCGCCCAGAGGCGCCCAUCCGAGCCGAGUGCCAUCCAGCAGAGCGAGAGGGGGGCCCGCACCGCGGGCACGAGGAGCACCCCCGCCUGCCGGCUACAGACCCCCGCCGCCCAUCGUGCAGGACUCGUACGGGGAGUAUGAGUAUGACGAUGGGUAUGGAACAGCUUAUGACGAACAAGGAUACGACACCUAUGACAACAACUACAGCAAUCAAGGUCAAAACUCAGACGACUAUUACGAAUACGGACACGGCAUCAGCGGGGAGUCGUAUGAGUCAUACGGCCAGGAAGAGUGGACAACCACCCGCACCAAGGCCCCCCCAGCACGAACCACCAAAGGCGUGUACAGGGAACAACCCUACACCAGAUACUGAACUGUUCCCCCACAACCCUCCCCUUUCAACCUGCAGAGACAACAUCACGGGUCACCCCCCCCCAAGUAAUGGAUUUUCUAUGGACUAUCCCACUCCUUUUUAGAAUAAAAUGAAAAAAAAAACAAAAACGAAAAAAAAAAAUACAAAUGAAAACACAUCCAACCUGGAGAUGAGGAGAGGAGGUCACAGCAACCGCUGAUUGUAAACUGAGUUGACCGUGACAGGCUGUGGAGGAUGGUGAAAAUAAUGACCAUUACUUAUUCCCGAGAAGGACUAAAGAGGACCGCUGUACGAUUAGAUGAGACAACAUCCAGUGAUUUGCCAUGACACUGAUAGGCCACUCUUCACAGUCCGUUUACAGAAACAUGGACCUUGAAGAAAUGGUGGACAUCCGAAAAUGUCUCUGCUUUUAGCACUCUCCUCCCCGUGCUGGCUCUCACCCCGUUUGCCCUGGUGCGGUUUCCCCUUCAGAGCACACCGCGUCACUUUGGCUCUUUAGCGGUCGGGGGGAGAAAUUUGAUCUUUCUCUUCAGACGGUCACCUUUCAGCACAGUGGCACAAACUUGAUUGUCUCUUUACGGUCCUCCCCAAUUACUUUCCUCUCUCCUUCAAAAGCUGGCACUCUUUGUUGCCAUCAACUAGUGCCUACAAACACCUCUGCUGAUGCUCCUCGGUCACCCCCCACAGCAAUUUUCAAAAGCUCUUUUUUAAUAUAAGACAAGGAAUCAAGCCAUUGAGGAAAACAAAAACUUCCCUACCAGCUUGUUGUGAUGCCCUAGUGUUCCUUUGUCUAUUUUUAUCAAUUCUGAGAAGAUGUUAUUUUCUAUCAGAAUUCUAUAUUUGUUGAGAACCUGUGCAUGUAUAACCAUAGUGUUUGUUCUUUCAAACACCAUUUGUAUAUCUGGAAUAGCUUGUCCUUGUUUUAAAUGGUAUUGUAUCUUUAUAGAAGAAUCAACAUGUACUAUGAAUUGUUUGUACUGUUGAGGGACUUAUCAUUACAAUCAUUCAUGCAUACCCUCCUCAGUUUUUACACACAUACAUAUGCAUGCCAUACAGUAAACAUGAUUUAUUCAUGACCGAUGACCAAAUCUGGACAUUUUCCACAAAAUGCACAUCAUUGAGGGUGACACCACUGUGAUGUGGGAUGACUGCACUGCUGCCAAAGUCCCAUGGCUCCCCCAGAUCAAUAAUCGCCACCAGCUUCUUCCAGUGGUCCAUGUUAUGAGCCCAAAUCCACUGGGAGAGAGAGGAGAGAACGAGACACGGGGAGAUGCUCUAGGAUCCUCUUCAGGCAAUCUCCACCUCUCUUGCUUCCUCCAUCCUAAUCCUCUCUGUUGUACCACCCCACAAUCCUCCCCCUGAGAACCCCCCACCUUUCUCUCUCUCUCUCUCUCUCUCUCUCUCUCUCUCUCUCAGUGGCUGGCAAGGGUGCUGGCACCCCUUUUGUGCCUGGGCGAUUAGUGUCCUCCAGUGCUCCCAGAGGACAGGGGGCUUUGUGCCACGUAAGCCCUGACAGGGGGCGCUUUCAGGCGGGGAUGAGCACGCAAGCCAGGGCUCCCUUUGUAAACCCCAAAGAGAUAAUGACUUAUUGAUUGUUUUUGACAAAAAUCCAUUAUCUCCACCAAACGCUUGACUAAAUGUAUCUCCAAGAGGAACAUAUGUUAAAAGUGAUUAAAGAACAACUCUUGUUUUUUCUUGUGUGUUUGUUUGUUUUCUGGUUGUUGCCAUUGCUCGUUCUGCUGUUCGGAGUUAUUGUUGCUCAUGAGCCUGACUUGACACCCCCCCUCUCUCUCUCUCCUUCUCUCUAUCUCUCUUCCUCUCCUUCAUUUUUAGGGUGUUUUCCAACAUGAAAGAAACAGACCAGCUUAAAAUUUUGUUCAAUACACCGAAGAAUGCAAUGGAGGAUGGCACCAUGCUGCACCAACAGUAAUAACCAAAGCAAUGGCAGAUCAGAGGACACAACCAAAGACACAUCUUUUUCCGUCUCCUUUGCCGACAUCCCCACAUCCCCACUCAGAGAGGCUGCAGCCUGAUCUGUAUUAGAAGGCUCGGAGUGACAGCAUCUUUCUGAGACAUUAUCGGAGAUGUUCAGACUCUGCUGCCAAGAAAACAUGGAAAGAGUGCUAAAAGGAGUGUGUGUGUGAGUGUGUGUGUUUGUGUGUGUGUGUGUGUGUGUGUGUGGUGUGCGAUGUAUGUGGGGGUGGUGUUAAUGUGUGUAUCAAACCCACUCUCUCCCUCACACAUUCGCUGUCAUCUUCCUCUCUCUGUCUGUUUCUCUCUUGCUCCUUCUCCCAAAGGGAGAGCUGCGUAGGCUCUAUAAUGGAGCUCCAAAUCCAGGGCGGCGGAGAGGGUGGCGGUGGUGUCUGGGCCGGAUGUGGAGUCGGCUGCAAUGUGUUCUGAGUGUUUUCCUUCUUAAACACUCCGGCUCCCAGACUUAAACUCGCCCAUACAUUCCCCUCCAGCCGCAUACAUUUUACAGUAGUGUGAACUGACAGUGAACCCACUUAACUGAGUACAUCUAGCUCAACUGUCUGGUAGCUAAUGGGAAAUUGUGCCCGCCUCCCCUACACACACACACACACACACACACACACACACACACACACCGCGACUCUCUUUCAGAUCUGCACAGAGAAGGACAGCGAGACUGGAUUAAUAUUGCAGCGAGCCUUCAACGUGUCACCAAAUUGCUAGAAAUGACACCUUCUAAUUACAUUGUUGUUUUGUUCAUUGUGGAAUAUCUAAUCCCCUUCCGAUGAAUAAAUCAUAGACCUCCAGUGCCUUAUUGUAAGUCAACUGGCUCUUGCGUCUCUUUAAGACAGACAUACUGUAAUGUUAGUACUUAAUGUGCUUGUGUGGAGAAGGGGUUUUUUUUUUUGGCGGUAAUGCAACUUUUGCCUGUAAAGCUGAGUUGACCAUAGCUUACAGUGUUUGUUGGGUGUCAAAAAGGGUUGAAUUCAUCCAAGGCUUGAUAACUGAAUAGUGUUCUACCAUUAUAGCAAUAAGUUUCAACUGCAUUGUUUUUGGCUUCUAGAUUUCUUGUUUUCUACAUGAAUCAGAUGACAUGACAAACUGAUCUGACGCCUUGCGUACUUUUUACUUUCCAUCCCAAGCAAUGGCAGAUGGCAGAUAGACAGUUACAGAUGUCCUCCCUCUGCCCAUGACAUUGGCAUGGUUCAUGCCAAACUCUCUAACUCAAGCUUCCGGAGCCAAGUAACAAAGAACAGAUUAAAAAGCAAACAUUCUUCCCUCUGAAAUCAGCAUAGAAGCUAAAUGAUGGGAUUUAGCAAACCUGUCCAUGAUAUUUCAAUAAAACAUAAAAGGGUUGAGUGCACUGUGUGUGUAUUUUAAGUUGAAUGGCAUUUCUUCCUAUAUUCUGGACCAUUUAGUAUUUUUCCUGCCUUGUCAGUAUAUGUUUUUUUCCCCCAAUGUUACCCUCACCUCCCCUGAGCUCUUGAGUCAUGGCCGCCUUCUCCCUGCCUCUUCCUCCUCCCUAGGAAAGACUCCAGCACUCCAACUCCUAACAGUUUAAUGUCCUCUACAGCAGACAAUAGUUUUCCAUUAGGGAAAGUGAUUCUAGUCUGACGUCUAGGCAAUACCCCAGGAGACGGUGGUGCUGAAAGCUCCUGGUUGUGUCCACGCGUCCCUGCUCGACCUUCACUGCUCCUACUUCCCCCUGGGCCGAGUGUUGUCGUUGUUUUUUUUUUUUUUUUUUUUAUUCCAAUGAAAGGCUGGCACGGAAAGCAGCUGGCCCCCGGUGAAACCGCAGCGCCUGAGGUGACACCGCCACAGCUGCCUGCACUGUUGAGAGAGAGAGAAGAGAGGGAGGGAGACAAAAGAGAGGGACAGAGAGAGACAAAAAAGAGAGGGAGAGAGGAACAGAAAAGCAGGAGAGAGAGCGAGAGAGAAAGAGAGAGAGGUGAUUUUAAUUCUUAGGGUAAGAUCUAGUCCAAGACGGAUGAGUGACCCUUGUCUGCACAUGAGCGCCUCCCUCCCACAGUUGUAAUGUAGUUGUAAUGUUGCCUGAUGAAGGGCUCUUGAACUGAGCUGUCAGCAGAGCAGUGUUUCUGAACAGUAUGUUGGCCUACAAACUCUCACAGUGAGUACAACAAAACACAGCGCAUGGCCAAGUGUCCACUCUGGGAAAGUGAGAUUAAAAUGAAUGUGUGUGUUUGGAUGGGAAACACAAUGAUGACACAUCUCUAUGUUUCCAACAGCUCUUAUGAAAUGAACGUGCUCUGUAUUCCAGAACAUACCUUACAAAGAUUACUGAUGUCAAUCACCAUUUUGAUUAGGAGACAAAGAAUCUCAGCAAAUCCUUAUGGAAUGUUAGAAGGAGAUGUCUUGCAGCACAUUGCUUCUUCAAAAGGAUUCCUGAGAGGCUUUCAUUGAUUUUGUAUUAAGGACUUUUUUACUCACUUUGUGCCUUGUAGUAAGGCCAACGAGUCUGCAGGAACCCAAAUCCCCUUUUAUUUCAUAAUGAACUUGUGUUCUUCUCCAUCUGUACUUGAUUGAAGUGCUGUGGGCUGUCUGCCCCCACUCAGAAAGGGUGUGUUAACAUCACAUGAAUAAAACACUCUGUAAAGUCUGAAUUUCUGAAUGGUUGAUGGACUCAGUUCCCCCACCCCCCAUCCCACCCCUCUCCAAGUCAGGCCUAAAGGAAGCUGUUUAUGUGUUUGUUUUGUUUACAUGUGUGUAUUUGCUUGUGUGUGUGCGUGUGUGAUGUCUUCACUACCUGUUUGUCUUUGUCUAUUUGUGUGUAGAAAAAAAAAGAAAACAUGCCAUGUUUCUCUAUGCUGUCAGUAAUGCAUUGUCAAUAAACAAAAGUAUUUGUGUUCA